AAGGGGGCGGGCCCGCGAGCUCGACAGCCCGGAGCCAAAGGGGCGGAAGGUCGCCGAGUGCUGGGAGGGGAGGUGGGGCAGCGACUGAGCGCCGCAGGAGCUGGCUGCAACCCAGACGCGGCCCGGGAGCGUCGGGAAUGGCAGUGUGGACCUCUGUGAUGGGACAUCUUGUGGGAUCUCACAGCCAGUUCUGUGGCAAAGGAGGAUGAAGGCUUACGAGGACUCGUCAGGAAGCUGGAUAACAGAGCGAGCGCAAUGUGCUAGAAUAGAAGACCAGAAAAUGAAAUGGUGGAGUUUGAGGCUGGAUAGACAGUUUGAAAGUUAACUGGUUGCAUGCUUGUUCAUUUGGCUGGCUUGCUUGGGUACAAAUAAUGGUUUGAAUAAAGAAAGGUAUUAAUGGGUCACCUCAAGUGAAGGCACUGCAAACACAAUGAUUGGUCAUUCUGAAUUUCCGGUCCUUCAUUCUGAAUUUCAAAGGCUCCUGUGACAAGUGGACAUGCAGUGACUGCACCUUUGUUUCUGAGGUGCCUGGAUGGAGGCUCAAAUAGAAGAUGGUGUCAGAUAUAUUGUGUUAAAAUUUUACCAUUAAAGUGUAUUAUAACAUGAA
rnacentral:lncRNA from 1 species